AUCAUAGAUCCCCAUUUGUAAUACUAUUAUUUGGUCUUGAUUCUGCACUUCUAUCGAUUUUUCACUAAGCUCAUAUUCUUUGUACUGACAUAGCAAUCCGGAAGUGACAAGGAGUGACUUUGGGAAUGGGCGCAGUCACAUCAGCGUGCCUCAGUGUAAUAUACUACUCAUUUCCUAUAUCCAAGUCAAUUUCAUUCUUUCUCCCUGUGAUCAGAUGUUCCCUACCAACAUUUCAGAGGAAGAGUUUCUAUCAUUUACUUUACACUGAAGACAGAAUUCCUGUUGGUAUCGUCAGCUGAGGUGUUAGACACACGAGAAAAACCAUCUUGGGCUUUCUAGCUCCAGUCUAGAUACAAGUUGAAUGGAGUUCAUGAAUAUCCCCAUCCAACACCAUAAGCAGCAGAAAAUUGCCUCUGAUGGGCUCAGACAACCUAUAUGAUGGUGAGAAAUAAUAAAUUAUUGUUGCUUUAUACUGCUAAGUUUGAU
rnacentral:lncRNA from 1 species